rnacentral:snoRNA from 1 species
GGCCUCCUGGUGCUGACAACAAGCUGUGUUCUUAUACUGACUGUAUGAAAAAGAGAAAGCAAAGUAAACCUGCCCCAUAUACACCUGAGUCCAGGCUCUGUGCCUGGUCUCUAUUGUGAAUGGGAGGACAUGG